GACAUUUUCCAGAGAAUAUCCUAAUAAACCAUCGUCUAAAGAAGGAUAUCUUACCAUCUUUGGGUUUACCUACAGCGGUUGCUGCAAACAAUGACUGCGAUCUCAACUUGAUUGAUUGCCCAAAUAAUUAUGAGACAAGUACUACAAUUGAGCUCGACUUUUACCAAGAUUUGCAGGAAGUACCCUCUACAAGUGGACUUCACACAUUUGAAAGGAAACGUUCUGGUACACUCGAUCAUGACUCUGAUAGAAAUGUUAAAGUUGCUCGCAUCGUGGCAAAAACACCUACAAUUGUUGCAAAUGAUCCUUGCGAAGAACGGGAACAUGACGUCACUGAUGAUUUUGAUAAAGAAGAUGAUGUGGACAUUUUAGAAAAAGACGAGGCACCACAUGAAAGGCAAAUUAUUGCUCUUCAGAGCAAUGAAUUAAAGAAUGAAGUUAAACGUUUGAAAAGAAAGGUGCGUGGUUUGGAAAAAAAAAUUUUGACAAG